GAGAAUAUAGCUCAGAUGGUUAGAGCAACUGACUGUUAAUCAGUAGGUCGAAGGUUCAAGUCCUUUUAUUCUCGCCA
rnacentral:tRNA from 4 species